rnacentral:rRNA from 1 species
GGCAUAAGUAACGAUAAUGCGGGUGAGAAACCCGCACACCGAUAGACUAAGGUUUCCCCGGCAAUGCUAAUCAGCCGGGGGUCAGUCAGGACCUAAGGCGAACCCGAAGGGGGUAGUCGAUGGACAAUGGUUUAAUAUUACCAUACUACCAUUAACAGUGAUGGGGUGACGGAGCAGUGAAAGUCCUGCGUACUGACGGAAUA